ensembl:lncRNA
GCUUCGUCGAGGCAAAGGUCGAAAGAUGGGUCGUGUAUUUACGUCUUUUAUUCGUUUACUUAUUGUGUGGUCCACUUCUCAAAGAGCUCCAGCCGUCGUCCCUCCACCUCUGGCUCCCAGCUGUGUAGGAUGUUUGUUCAGGUAGGAUGGAUUCCCAGAACACCGGCAGCAGUGGACAGGCUGAGAGAUGAGGCCAGGUGCGAGUCACCGUAGGCUCUGAUGUUCACAGAAAACAUGGUGAUCUGUGCUGAGAGUGGGUGGCAGACAGAAAGAAGAAGACGCAUCGAGUUGACGUCGUGAAAGUAGAAGAGUUUCAGUAUCUGGCAUCAACCAUCCAAGGCAACAGACAGUGCACAAGAAAGUGCAGGAUGGGUGGAGCAGGUGGAGACGAUUGUCAGAGGUAAGGUGUGACAGAAGGAUAUCAGCAGGCGUGAAAAGGAGAGUUUACAAGAUGGCAGUGAGACCUGCUGUGGUGUUUGGUUUGGAGACAGGAGGCUGAGCUGAAGAUGUGAUGAUUUUCUUUGGGAAGGACCGGGAUGGACGAGAUUAGAAAUGAGCGCAUCAGCAGCCUGGCUGUGGAUCCAGCAGCUCUCCCGUAGACAGACGUCUCUCCUGGCACUCCUGAUCAGUCCAAUUAGACCUGCACUAAUCCAACAUCCUUUAAACGUCUCGUCUCAGGUGCUCUCCACAGCCCGACUCACCAACGUGCUUCGGUCAUGCGUUCAGCCAAGUACUGUGGGGUGAACUGUGGCCAUCUGGGAGACGUCUAGUUUACCUUUUUCCAAAUUUCAACCUCACACUUAAAAGAAAAGAAAAUUCCAAUGUAGACAUUUUUUAAGGACACAGGUCUCACAGUAUGUUUAAGGCCUGUUUAAAAACUUGUUUAAUGGUGCUUUUAUUUGUUUACAUACUUUCAAAAUAAAACAGUCCGGGUCAAGUUGUCACGUUUCGUCAUCACGAGUGAACGAUUUCACCACCCUACGCAGCAGUUGCAUCAGCUCAUUAAUGACUUUUUUUCAGAAUCCUUCCUGUUUUGUUUUUUCAAAAUAAGAUCACACAUUAAAGACAUUAACUGUAAAAAAUGUUAUUUAAAGUCUACUGGCAGGAAUGAUAAAGCAGGCACUUUUUUCUGGCUCAGUGUGAGUGAUUGCUCAACAGGUUUGGCAGCAACAUCAAUAAUCAAACUCCCACUUCAAGGUUUUGACUGUUUACAAACCUUAAAACUCGUCUUUAACUCAGUCCAGCACAUCUGAAUCCAGUCACAUACAUUUUUGAAUAAUUAGAAAUAUACUAAGAUUUAAAGACUUUACUGAUGACAGAUGACAAAUUAAAGGAAAAAACUGUGGCUGAGUGCACGGUCAGUGUGCCAUCUCCAAGGAAAAAGAUCCUUGAUUGGGUGUUUUGGUAAUGGGAAUGAAUGUCAUGAUAAUUUGUGAAUUUUGAUGAUUUCUUUGAACUGAUUGGUGACAUGAUUGUACAGCCAGGUUUCAAUAAGCUCAAGUGUAGACACACACACCUUUAAUGUUUGGUUAAAUGUAACUUAACAAGUCGUACCUCGACCAGAUCCAUCAACAUGCUUCUGGCAAAGUGCUUUUUUUUUGGCCUUUUUCUGGCUUUAUUAGAUAGUAACAGUGAAGACUGACAGGAAAGCGUGGGAGAGUGAGGGCAAGUCAUACGGCGAAGGCCUGCUCAUCCUGGUGAGCUAAACCGGCGCUUCUGGCAUAAUUCUGGUUGGAUAUUUAUUUAACCACUCGUCUCCGCAGAAAAGGUGGAGGUAAUUAAAAUUGGUUAGUUCCCUGGCAUAGACCUGACUUCAGAUUUUAAAUAAGGUCGUGGCUUUAGUGUUAGCCUUUUUUAUUCAUUCCAAAACCAGGUUUAAUGUGUCCUGUUGGAACACCCCAUCAUGUCCAAGUUUCAACUGUCUCAGAGAAUUUGAAGGUGGUAGUCCUCCUCUUUCUUUAUUCCAUCCACUUUGUGUAGUGUGCCAGCACCACUGCAGAAAAACAGCUCCAGAGCAUGAUGCUUGACAGCUGUUCAGUGUUCUUAGCUUUGAAAACCGCACCUUUACUCGUCCAAACAUACCACUCGUCGUUGAUGCCAAAGAGCUCAAUCUUUAAAGCUUUUCCUGAGACUGCAUUUGGCUCGUCCAUGUGGGCUGCUGCAAAAGUUGAUUUUGAAGCAUGAGCUUCUUUUUAUGGUCGGGACCCUCUCAGUCCAUGAUUAUGUAAAACUUUCCGGUGUGGAAGACCAAUGAGUCUUCCAAUGAGUGCACACAUUGACUGGUCUGAGUAUCAGUCGUUCCAGUGAGAGCAGUUAAACAAUCCUCAUUAUGCUGGCAAAGAUCUAAUCAAUCAUGAUCACUGAAGGUAACGGGCCUUGGGCUCGUCGAGUCGACCUUCAGCAGAACUUAUUAAAAGAUUUAAGUGAAUGUGUUUCCAUGUGAUUCACGUCAUUUUUAUGCUCGUCUAACCUUUCAGUGACUCCCUCUGAGCUGUGAAUGAGUGCAUCCCCAUCUGGGUAGAGGAUGAAGCUGAUCAGAGAUCAGUUUGUAUUAAUUUGCAGUGAGUCUUCCCUUUCAUGUGUUUUAGAUCAUAUUACUCUCAGUAAUUUACUGAGAACUAACUUCCAAGUCAAUGUGAAUUAACUUCACAUUAAUUUUAAAAUACUCCUUUAUACGUUUAAGGCUAUUCAUUCUUUCUCCCCACCAUACCUCUCUGAUUUGGUACAGAUCUCCAUCCCAUCUCGGUGCCUCAGAUCCUCCUCUUCUCUUCUUCUUUCUGUUCCUUCAUUCCGUCUUAUUACCAUGGGGGGCGGGGCUUUUAGUCGCUCAGCCCCUUGACUUUGGAAUUUCCUACCCCCUGACCUGAGAAACAUCACUUCAUUCCCUCUUUUUAAGUCCACCCUCAAAAUCCACCUGUUCAAGAUGGCCUACUCUAUAUAACUUCUCCAUGCUCUUAAACUUUCUUUUAUUAUUGUGUUUAUUUCCUGUUUUUAUGCUUGUCUUAUUUGGUCUGUAAGUGUCCUUGGGUGUUUUGAAAAAGGCGCUUUUAAAUAAAAUUUAGUAGUAGUAGUAGUAGUAGUAGUAGUAGUACAAGUUUACAUUAACGUUUUAUUUUGAAGAGCGCGGCCUUGGGUGGUUUUUUUUUUAGGGGGGUUUUUGGUAGAGAAGACAGUAUGAGAACAAAGAAAAGGUGGAGCUCAGGAAGUUGAGUAUUUAGUCACCAGAGCGAUGGCUGCAGGGUGGAAGCUGAGCGCUGCGGUGCUGCUGAGUGUGUUUGUGCAGGUUUUGAGCGGGCUGCCAGUGAAGUGCACCGUCUCCCGUGAUGGUGGCAGGACUACGUACGCCCUCCAGACCGGGUUUUAUGACAAGGAUGUGCAGAAGCCCGAGUUCUCGUGGUUUAACAUCUCCAAAUACGUCCUCGCCAACCACAUUGGCCAAAUUGAUGUGGUGAAAAGUUGCAGCUUCAACGUUCUCACUGUCAGAGGCUGCAUCGAAAACCUUUUCUGUGAAGGACACAUCAACUCCAAGGGGAAACCUCUCGACUACACGGCCAACUGCACCACCGUCUGCCCUUCAGAAGCUUUGCCUGGAGACCAAGGGAACUCUCAUCGCUGGAUCAUCGCUGUCAUUGUCAUUGUCAUAGUGAUAGCGCUUGUAUGCAUCAUGUGCUUCCUGUGCUGCAGAAAUGAAAAUCUCAGGAGAUGCCGCUGUGGGCAAACCAGAGGACUCUACACCGUCAAGAAGAAAGAAGCAGCAAAGCCAGAAGUUGUGUAAAAAGAACAGAUCUGAUGAUCUUUCCCCUUUUUUCACUUAGAGUGUGCAUGAAAAGGUUAAUCUCUACCUCUGAGUGGAUGCUUUCUGUAGUUUCCCACUGCGUCUACACAGUAAGUCCACGCUUCCUGUGGACUUGUUUUCAGUUCCUCUUUGUUCGCACUUUGGCCCAGUUAAUGACAGCACGGUGGUGGUAAUGAGUGACAGAAGGACACUUAUGUGACUGGAUGCUGGAGACUUGAAGUGCUAAACUCUAACUCAUGUGUGACUUUUUAUUUUAAGCUUUACUUAAUAAUGAUAAUAAUGCAACAAUGUUUACUUUAUUGAUCCCCGUGGGGAAAUUCCUCUCUGCAUUUAACCCAUUCACUCAGUGAAGCAGUGGGCAGCCACUGGGCGCCCGGGGAGCAGCGUGUAGGGACGGUACCUUGCUCAGGGAUUCAAACCCUCCUGUUUUGCAUUAUAAUUGCCAAAACUGAACCCCAGCUCACUGAUUUGUGUUACUGUAACUGUAUCCUGUUACAGCGUCGAUCCCAUCGUUGAUUUUGAUUCCACUUGCCGGUCAGCUGUGAGGGAUUGGUGCACAGGUGAAAAGUUCUCUGGGCUGUGGAAGCUCUCAGACUCUUUGCUGCACCAGCGAGUGCACUUUGAGGAGCUAAUACUAAACCCCCCCCCCCGCCCCGCCAAAUUGUGUAAACCAGCUGUGGAAGCUCGGAGACUUGUAAUGCAGCACCAGGGCGUGCACUUUCAGUGUCCUAUAGCAUUACAGCACAUAGUAUAUAUAAUAUAUAGUAAUAUAAAGAUGAAUAUAGAUGACUUACUAUCUAUAUGCUGCUGAUAUUUUUAUAAUAUGAAAGUAUAUUAUUUAUAUAUAAAUGUAUUAUGUAUUAUUAUUAUUAUAUAACUUGUAAGGAUGAAUAUUGUGAUCUUAAACUACUCGUCAUGUGUCCUUCUCUUAUGAAAUUUAUAUUUUAUGCUGUCAAUCAAACAUUUGAUUCUGUAUAAGCUGUAUCUGUUGCAUUAUUGUUUCUUUUUCAGUCAUUAAAAGCUUCUGUUCAGA